UUUGACCUCAAAUCAGGUAGGACUACCCGCUGAACUUAACA
rnacentral:rRNA from 1 species